AUUGAACGCUGGCGGCAGGCCUAACACAUGCAAGUUGAGCGAGCGGAGGACGGGUGAGUAAUGUAUGGGGACUGCCCGAUAGAGGGGGAUAACUACUGGAAACGGUAGAUAAUACCGCAUACUAUCGGAUAACCCAUAUGGGAUUAGCUAGUUGGUGAGGUAAUGGCUCACGAAGGCGACGGUCCCUAGCGGGUCUGAGAGGAUGAUCAGCCACACUGGGAAUGAGACACGUCCCAGGCUCCUACGGAGGCAGCAGUGGGGAAUAUUGCACAAUGGGCGCAAGCCUGAUGCAGCCAUGCCGGGUAUAUGAGGAAGGCCCUAGGGUUGUAAGGUACUUUCAGUCGGGGGGCGUUACCGACAGAAGAAGCACCGGCUAACUCCGUGCCAGCAGCCGCGGUAAUAC
rnacentral:rRNA from 1 species